GAUAUUUUUCAGACAUAACUAAUUAAAAAUAUUUACAAUCAAUAUUUUUGGUUCCCUUAAUUGCCAAUUUUUUCAUAUACUAUCAGAUAAAUGGCUGAAUCAGUCCGUUUGACAAACGAUGAUUUUCGUAAGCUAUUGGCUACUCCUCGUCAGCCACCACCAGGGAGUACACCUGCAAAUUCUACAACAGCUACAUCGUCGUCUAUCGAAAAGAAAAAACCUCAAGGUUCAAGUAGUGAGCGCAAUGAUUUGCGUAGAAAAAAGAAAAAUUUUUAUGCAGCACUUAAAAAACAAGAAGAUGGUAAACUGCAACAACUAUCCGAAAAAUAUCGCGAUCGAGCCAGGGAACGCCGUGAUGGGGCAAAUCCAGAUUAUCAAAACGUUAGCACGCCUGGUCAUAGUAGCACCAAUGCUUAUCGUGCUGUUGCCCCGGAUUUAAAAUCAGGCAUAGAUGCAGCUGAGCGGCGUCGUCGAAUUAUACAGGAAUCUAAAUUUUUAGGCGGUGAUAUGCGACACACGCAUUUGGUAAAAGGUCUCGAUUAUGCCCUUUUACAAAAAGUACGUUCUGAAUUACAAACCAAAGAGGUGGAAGAACAAGCAUUGGCAGUUGCGGCAGCUACUGAAAAGUUAGCGGAAACCGCUGCAGCUGAACAAGCUGAAGCUGAAAGCAAGGAUGCUGAUGAUCAUAUGACUAUAAAAAGCGCAAUGGCCCGAAAUAUUUUCAAUAUAAUUCAAGCCCGACGCUCUAAAGAAGUGUCUUGUAAUGAAUUAUUUGCUCCAGGUCGCAUGGCCUACGUUAUUGAUUUAGAGGAUGAUUUGGGAGAAACCGAUAUUCCAACGACAUUAAUACGGUCAAAAUUUGAAGUGCCUGUUAAUCGAGAAGAUAUCGCCACGCUUACUACAAAUGAUAUUGUUAUAAAUAAACUUUCACAAAUUCUCUCCUAUUUACGUGCUGGUGGCCGCAAUAAGAAAAACAAAAAGAGAGAUAAAGAUAAACCACUUUUCUAUGAAAAAGAAAUGGAACAAACAUUGAAUAUUACUGGAUUAAGUGAUGGUGGUGGUUUAAGUGGUAAAGCUUUAGGUGACAACAUAUACGACGAUAUUGGAGAGUAUCAACCAAACACUAAGAAGGAAGGUUUAAAGUUAGAUAACAAUAACCCAAAAGGUGUGGCUGGAUCUUACUUCGCAGACGUAAAAGGAAACGAAGAUCCCGAGCCGCUAAUAACUAAUAUACCACCACCGCCAAAGAUUACAAAGGCGAUAGCUUCGCGCUUUGCCAAUGAACCAGAGGGUUAUGCUGAGUGUUAUCCGGGAUUAGAAGAAAUGAAUGAUGCCAUCGAUGAUUCUGAUGACGAAGUAGACUAUACGAAAAUGGAUUUGGGCAAUAAAAAGGGACCUAUUGGUAGAUGGGAUUUCGAUACACAAGAGGAAUAUUCCGAUUAUAUGAGCACAAAGGAGGCUUUACCCAAAGCUGCAUUUCAAUAUGGUGUCAAAAUGCAAGACGGCAGACGAACUCGAAAAAACAAAACAGAGAAGAGCGAAAAGGCAGAGUUGGAUCGCGAAUGGCAGAAAAUACAGAAUAUUAUACAAAAACGAAAGUUUCCUAAAGGAGGAGCAGAAGAACCCGACUACAAAGCUGCUAAAUAUUAGUAGGCAAACAUUAAUGCAACAGACCACAAAAUUAUAUAAAGAGUUAUACAGAAUAGUUUCACAUAUAUAUCCAGUUUCAUUAAUUUAUAAUAUGAUCCAGUACCAAGGUUCGAGGGUGCCGCAAUCCAACUGUUUUUCAAGAUGAUUGCCUCAUUUUCUAAUAUUUGUUCAUGAAGGUGUAACAGAAUAUCAUUGUUUCAUCAGAAAUAAAGAACAAAUCAAAAAAUA